rnacentral:rRNA from 1 species
UGGGGAAUAUUGCACAAUGGGCGCAAGCCUGAUGCAGCCAUGCCGCGUGUAUGAAGAAGGCCUUCGGGUUGUAAAGUACUUUCAGUCGGGAGGAAGGUGGUAAGGUUAAUAACCUUAUCAAUUGACGUUACCGACAGAAGAAGCACCGGCUAACUCCGUGCCAGCAGCCGCGGUAAUACGGAGGGUGCAAGCGUUAAUCGGAAUUACUGGGCGUAAAGCGCACGCAGGCGGUUGAUUGAGUCAGAUGUGAAAUCCCCGGGCUUAACCCGGGAAUUGCAUCUGAUACUGGUCAGCUAGAGGCUUGUAGAGGGGGGUAGAAUUCAAUGUGUAGCGGUGAAAUGCGUAGAGAUGUGGAGGAAUACCGGUGGCGAAGGCGGCCCCCUGGACAAAGACUGACGCUCAGGUGCGAAAGCGUGGGGAGCAAACAGG